GCAUUUGUAUGUUAUCCUAAGACGAAGCAAGAAGUCAUCGUUGUUCCACUAAAAAUGCGGCACUAAGCGGCAAUAUCGGCAACAAUGGAUCUGCGGCAAAAAUAAAAUUGCGGCGAUGCAUGGCCAUGGCAAAAACGGCAAUCGGCAAAUAAAAACAGAUAGAAUCAAAUUCAAAUUGAUUAUCUGCAACGUGUGGCAACGUGCGGCCGAAUAUGAUCGCUUCCUUGGCUGCGGGCGGCAACGUGCGGCUAAAGAUGAAACGAACGGCAAGUAACGGCUAAAACGCUGAUGUAAAUAAAAUUCACAAAUUUUAUAAUAGUAUGGUAGCAAUGCGUGCAUUGUUUAUCGUAAUGAGGUCACGCUUGCAGUAAACAAAUCGUUUCAAAUCAAGGGGAUGAAGUCCGCGGAUUCAAGUUCCUAUGCUUUAAAAGAAAUUCGUUUGUGAGGUCAUAAAACAAACGAUCGGCGGUGGCGAUUCUGACGUUGAUUUUUCGGCAUAUCAAUUCCUCAAAUAUUACGGUUGCUCCGAGGGAUGGUGAAAUUCGGUCCCGGCUCAUUCCUAUUGCCGGGAGUGUCACCCAUGUAAAAACAACAAAAAUAGCCAUAACGACAACUAAACAUUAUAAACUCAUUUAGCUUAAUAUAUCAUAUAAAAUAAAUAACAAAAUCAAUAUGUAUUAACUUAAGUAAUAAGUAUAAAUUAUAAACGAAUAA